AGGCGUGAGCCACCGCGCCAGGCUGUAUUUCAAUAUUUUUAAAUUAAAAAACAUUUUUUUAGAGACAGGGUCUUGCUAUGUUGCCUAGGCUCAUCUUGAACUCCUGGCCUCAAGCAAUUCUCCUGCCUCAGCCUCCCAAAGUGCUGGAAUUACAGGUGUGAACCACCCGGCCCAGCUGCUCACUGUACUUCAUGUACAUUAUUUCAGUUAAUCCUUGUAGCCACCCACCAAGAAGAAGAUGCUAUCAUUACUCCCAUGUCCCAGAAGAGGAAGCUGAGGCAUAGUCAGUUAAGUCACUAGCCCAGUGGCAGAGCUGGGAUUUGACUCCAGUGCCAGCUGACUCCUAACCAUCGACAAAGUGUCCCCUGCUCGUGCCUAUUAAGAUCCUCGUGGCUGCCAGGACCUAGCACCGUGCCCAGCACAUGAGGGGGCCAGCAUGGGGAUAAUGCAUGUCCCCCAUCCACUGGCUCCUGAGGCAACA
rnacentral:lncRNA from 1 species